rnacentral:rRNA from 1 species
AUACGUAGGGGGCGAGCGUUGUCCGGAAUGAUUGGGCGUAAAGGGCGCGUAGGCGGCCGCUUAAGUCUGGAGUGAAAGUCCUGUUUUCAAGAUGGGAAUUGCUUUGGAUACUGGGGGGCUUGAGUACAGGAGAGGUUAUCGGAAUUCCCGGUGUAGCGGUGAAAUGCGUAGAGAUCGGGAGGAACACCAGUGGCGAAGGCGGGUAACUGGACUGCAACUGACGCUGAGGCGCGAAAGUGUGGGGAGCAAACAGGAUUAGAUACCCUGGUAGUCCACACUGUAAACGAUGAAUACUAGGUGUGCGGGGACUGACCCCCUGCGUGCCGGCGUUAACACAAUAAGUAUUCCACCUGGGGAGUACGAUCGCAAGGUUGAAACUCAAAUGAAUUGACGGGG